rnacentral:lncRNA from 1 species
AGAUGAGAACGUCUUCCAUGCUGCUCCAUGUGACGGUUGAAACCUGUAUUGCUUUUGGCUACCUGCAAUGCAGAAAAAAGCCGAGGAUACAGUAAAGGACAAUCUGCAUGCUAGUUUUAGAAAGUGUGAUUGUGUGUGUUGUUGCGGUACUUGACCAGGACUCCCUGGUGGAAGAUGUAUUGUAUCUCAGUGGGACCUUCCUGGUUUAAAUGUAUUGUAUCUCAGUGGACCUUCCUCGUUAAUAAGUAAAUAAAUUAAUAUAUAUAUAUAUAUAUAUAUAUAUAUAUAUAUAUUUUAAAACACUGCGGUUGGGUUUCUUGAUAUCAAUCUUAUUUGAAAUGCUUUCAGAUUUGUGCAAAUUGCUUUUGGGUUGCAGGUGUUUCUUCAACUAUGGGAACUUUUAUAGCCCAGGAGUUGAUUUUAAUUAAAACUUGCAGAUUUUCACCCUUGUAUGCAAUGUGCAUUUAUCCAAAAAUGUUAUAAGGCAUUAACACUGUAUAAUACAUACCUAUUUCAGGACAAAGCAUUACUAGAGUGGAAGAAACACCCACACAUCCUCUACAGCCUCUCAAACGUGGGCUCACUUGCUGAGUUUCACACUGCAGGACUCUCACACUCUGCAGUAAAACAACCGCUUAAGAGAAGGCCUUGUUCCAGUUGCACUUCUUUUGUCAUGCUAAAGGUAACCUUUUAAAGUGCAUUGACCACAGGUAGCAUAGAGAAACAAUGGGAUACAUCAGCAUCCUCCUCUAGAGUUACUGCUGACCUGCCAGAAUCCUCCACUCCCACAGUCCUCGUCUUCCACUCUGUGGGUGCAAAUAAAGCUGUCCAACUAUGACAUCACGGCUAGCCAUUCGUUUUCUGUAUAUCACCAUGGCGAUGCGACCGUAACUGGUGAGAUGGCAGCAACCACGGAGAUGAAAGACCGCAUUAGCGCAUCAGGAUGGAGACAUGCACUAAGAUCUGUCAGAUUUUCUUUUUAAUUUAGCCUUUGCCUUUUACAUAAGCUCUACUGAAAAGAUCAGAGAAACUAUGAAGAGUCAUGCUGACCUCCUCCUUCACUGUGGAUCAGGACCAAUACGGUUCUCCACCAAUCAAUCUGGGGUGCGUUUCCCAAAACCAUAGUUUCUAACCUGUUAGCAACUUAGUUGGUUGGCAAUGGGAAAUUGCAUUGGUUUUGGGAAGCGCACCCCAGGUCAAUCACAAUCUCAUCACUCAAUCUCUUCCAAAAACAGCUUUGAUAUUUAAACAAUAAUAGCAUGUCAGAUGGCAGAACAACAGCAAAUCUUUUACUUUUUAAUCUUGACAGUAACAUUUAUGCGAAUUCACUCUCUGACAGCAGGUGGCGCUUAUGGAACAGCAGCGAUACAGCUUCUGCAUUUAUAAACACUACUUUAAUAUGCAUUAUAUGGAGGUAAGAGGAAAAGAAAAGCCAUUGAAACAUUUUUGAAGAUGGUCAGAUACAGGUAAGAGGAAAGAAAAGACCAUUGAACAUUUUGAAGAUGGUCAGAUCAAACUCCCACAUAUUUUUCUUCCUAUAUUUCGAGCAUCGCGAACAGCGAGCUUGAUCUGCCUGGUACAGUAUUUUCUCUUCAUAGACUUCAUAAAAUUUACACACAAAUGACAUUUUUUGGAAAUUAUUGCAAUGAAGUUUGUGUGCAAUUCUAGGUUUCAUUACCGCACGCACCCCCUUCUGGAUUGAUCGCCUAUGACUGACUGUAUUCGGCGUCUGACUGCAUUAACCAAACCGUGACAUCCGUACCAUGUCCGUUCGGGAUGAAUACAUGUACCGUUAAACCCCUAGUAUGAAACAAAGUUGCAGCUUUCAAAUUUUGUAAGAAAUUCAAACAAUAAAUAGCGUUUUGUGGCUCUUUAAUGUAUGGUGACAGAUCGCUGUUUCGCACGUAAACCCAUCUUCUUCCUUUUUACUAGUUACAGCACAGAAUAAACAUGAAUGAACAUCAGAAGGGAUCUUGUUUCAACCACGGAGAGACGUUAGUACACACCAUUUCUUAAAUUCAAGUCCACUGAUGUUACUCUACUCUCGGCUGGUUUGUUUGUCGAACAGAAUGGCAGAUUCUGUGUUAUGAUUGGCCAGAUCGCCCAUCAAUCAAACUUCUGGCGAAGGGUCAAUUCAUUGAUUUGUUAAAGUCUGCAUGAACCGGAAGUUGCUGCCGACUUUAUUCCAGUAUAGUGAUGCAUUUCAGACUGAAACAGAAUAUUGAAUAGAGGGCAGGGUUUUACUUUAGAGCUCCUCCUCUCCAUCUCUCAUUCAUAGCAAACUAACGGCUGAAGGGGCGUGGUUAAGAAUAUUCUGCCUAAGCCGUCAAAGUAACGUCAUCAGAGAAGGAAUGCUAUUCUAGAUUGCAAGCAAAUGUUUAGAUUUCGAUUAAAGAUUACCAAGACGAACAUUUUUUUUAAUUGCACGGAUUAAUUGUUCACCUCAAGACUAGCAAUGUGCACUUAAAAAGUAAAUAGAGUCAAUUUUUCUUUAAUGAGGACUUUCACUUUCUUAGACUUUCUCCAACUGGAUAACUGAAUUAGUUGGUAACUGCAGCAAUCACUGUGAUUUGUGAACCUGCAAACAGAUUCAUUGAAAAGAAAGAAUAAUUUGUUCAUGAAUUGGACACUGCGGAUGGCUAUCGUGAUUUAGAGUUGGUUUCUUCUUUUCAAAAUAUUGUUUUUGGGGGGUAUGGGAGUAAAACGACUAUGCUUUGGAAUCCAGUGAAGUAAAAGUCAAAAAAGAAAAUGCUCUGAUAAUCUGGCUUUGAUGAUCCCUGCUCUAAAACUUGUGGACUGAAGUGACUUUGGGCCAUUAAGGCCUGUUCACACCAAAAUGUAUUUUUGCACAUGAUUUCUCUUUUCAGAGCAAUGGUAAACAGUAGAUGUGGCGAAUGAAAACGCAAUUUCUAUGCAACUCAAUUGGAAUUUAUAUUAGUUUAGUAGUCAGUAAUCAGUACAGUGAUCCAGAACAGUACAGAACUAAAUGUUCUCCUCAUCCAGUAAAUCCUGGUAGAAAUUAAGGUAGAAAUAAAGUGCUCUGGUUGGUGGAGCCGGUGUAGGGAUCAGUGCUGUAAAUGUCAGACAGCUCAGAAGAUGCUGCAUUCUUUCCCUUGGGUUCACGGUUGGAUGGACUUUAUAGUCCUGGAUCAUCUGCUCUCCUGUGCUGAGUGAGAUUGAGGGUGCUUGAGUGAUAAAUCCAGGCUCUGUAAAUCUAUACAGCUUUUAUUUACUGUACAGAUCCUCAAUGAUGCUAUCCAGAGCAUCCUGUGAGACCCAGUGUAUGUGUUUAUGUCGGAGAGUUUAUUUGAUGCAGGAACGUGAUUUUUACCAGACAAAUGUCACUCCAUCUGAACAGAUGACAGCAUGCUGAAGCGUCCCAUCGGAUUUGGGCUGAUGAUGCAUCUGAAACAAAACAGAAGAGGGCCAGUCAGAAUUGUAGCACUGAAUCAGCGACAAACUCUAACGCCAUUAUGUUCAAGUCAUCAUAUCAGCCAGACUGCUUUUUGAUGAACCUUAAAAACCCAAUAAAAUGUAGGGUAGGUGAUUUCAGACAGGCUGGCAAUAGCAAGAUCCCACCCUCCCUGCAAAUCACUCUCCAAAGCCACACCUCUGAAAAAACACAUGAACUCGGACCGAGGAAUAUGACUGGAUGAACAUUUAAGGUCCUACACCUUCCACAUACGUUAUAAAUGCAUAUAAAUGCAUGCUAUCGAUAUGUGAAGAGAUUUUCAACCAGGAUAACAAAAACAUUUCUG